GCGGGGACCGCCGCCGUCGUCGUCGCCGCCGCCGCCUCCCCGCGGCCCUCCCGUCGCCCCGACGCGCAAUGCCGCCUCGGCAGCGGCGGCCGCCGCCGCUCCUGCCCUCCUCCCGGCCGCCCUCGCCCGGGCGGCGGCGGCGGCCCCGCACCCGCUGCGGCACCGCCGCUACCCCAACGGUGACGGCCAAACGUUCCCCGCCAACCCGGAAGCGGAGCGGCACAAACAGGAAGCGGGACGCCGCGCAAGCGCCCGCCGGCAGCCUCCUCGCCGCGGCAGCAGCCAAUGGGGAGCGAGCGGGGGUGGGGGCGGGGUCGGGGUCGGCGCUGCGAGGGGAGGGCGCUGUGCGGUAGCGUUUUAUUGGCGCUAUGUGGCGGCCGCGUCCUCCCGUACCAAAGGUCUGUGGGCGUGAUCUCUUGUGGGCUAGGAGACGGGAAAAGUCACGAGGCUGGAAUAAAACUGCCGUAUACAGCUAGCGCACCGUGAGCGGUCACGUAGGCUCCUUGUUGCUCAAUGCAAACAGCUCUGUGCUCGGGCAAUACCUGCAAUUCACCGUCAAGAAAGUCUGGAAAAUGAGCCAAGCCGAUCCCCGGUGUCAUUUGGUGUUGGCACAAGUGAGAAGAACUGCUGUGAGAUGGAGGGACAGAAGCUGGCAUCCUCUGUUCUCUUCAGUAACUAUGCUAAGUCUGUUUUGUUGAUUGCUCUUGGUAGGCAUGAAGGAGAACACAAGCUGUAGGUUCAGCAGAUCUGGGUAUGGCAAGAUGGAGCUCAUUCUGCAUGUCCUCUGAGCAUGGCUGAGGUGAAGCAGUUCGGACUGAAGGAACCCAUUUAAUCUACACUCAUUAUUUCUGCCAUCCAAUAAAUAAUUGAAAAAAAACCCCAGCUCUCCUCUGGGGAACUAUUUCCACUGUUUCCACCCAGAAGAGAAUUUGUCUCCAAAAAUUUAAUAUA